rnacentral:rRNA from 1 species
GGGUACUCUUGAGUUUGAUCCUGGCUCAGCGCGGCUGGGUCUCCCGUCAGACUUUGGAGUGGACCUGGAAACGUGCCCUCCGGUCUGGGAUAACCCUGGGAAACUAGGGCUAAUACCGGAUACGUGCUUUGGCAGAAAGGUUUACUGCCGGAGGAUCGGCCCGCGUCUGAUUAGUUAGUUGGUGGGGUAACGGCCUACCAAGGCGACGAUCAGUAACUGGUCUGAGAGGAUGAUCAGCCACACUGGGACUGAAACACGGCCCAGACUCCUACGGGAGGCAGCAGUGGGGAAUAUUGGACAAUGGGCGCAAGCCUGAUCCAGCCAUGCCGCGUGAGUGAUGACGGCCUUAGGGUUGUAAAGCUCUUUUCUCCGGGACGAUAAUGACGGUACCGGAGGAAUAAGCCCCGGCUAACUUCGUGCCAGCAGCCGCGGUAAUACGAAGGGGGCUAGCGUUGCUCGGGAUGGCUGGGCGUAAAAGGAAGCGUAAGCGGCUUUUUAAGUGACCGGAUCCGUGUAGUCGAGCAGAACACGUACUCCGCCGACCAUGAUGAUCUCGAUUACUGACGCUUGAUCCAACUUUAAGUCGAGUUGCAGAGUGCAAUCCGGACUGAGACCGGUUUUGCAAAAUGGCUCACAGCCCCCCCUUUGCGUACCACUUGCACCGAACUUGGAGCACGGAUGGAAGCCAUCCCUUAAAGGCCCAUAGGACAUGGCGGAAUCAUCCAUUUCGUUCCAGUUUGACACCGUAGGUCUGAAAGUUUCCUCAGAAGAUGGUACUAGGACCGGAGGAAUGUCGCUGCGCGAUUAUUGCCCAUCUCUCGCAAUGUAAAGGAGAGAGUGUGCCGGGUGGGUGAGCGUAAAGAAGAGAAAGGUCUUCAGGUAAGGGUCAAUGUCUGGGAUCAGCAUUCUGCGCUUCAUCUAUUAAACUGUGCUCACCGGGUUGCGACCCCGACUUUCUUUGAUUUUAUAUUUUUACGGUCUCACCGGGGCAAGGUUUUACUGACUGCUUCCACGUGAGGGACACCCCGCCGAGUUCUUGUUUAAUGCCGUGGUAAACCGGAUUAUCAUUUUGGGUCCCCCGGUUUUGACCCACGAGAAGCUUGGGAGGUGGCCGCUUCCCCCCCGGGUUUUUUGUAAAAAAAUAAAUUUUUCCCCUCUAACGGAGUUUCCCCCCCCCCCCUACGAAAAUUAGGGGGUUC